AACGGUGGCUAAUACCGCAUAACGUCGCAAGACCAAAGAGGGGGACCUUCGGGCCUCUUGCCAUCAGAUGUGCCCAGAUGGGAUUAGCUUGUUGGUGAGGUAACGGCUCACCAAGGCGACGAUCCCUAGCUGGUCUGAGAGGAUGACCAGCCACACUGGAACUGAGACACGGUCCAGACUCCUACGGGAGGCAGCAGUGGGGAAUAUUGCACAAUGGG
rnacentral:rRNA from 1 species